GAUGAACGCUGGCGGCGUGCUUAACACAUGCAAGUCGAACGGAAAGGCCUCAGCUUGCUGGGGUACUCGAGUGGCGAACGGGUGAGUAACACGUGGGUGAUCUGCCCUGCACUUUGGGAUAAGCUUGGGAAACUGGGUCUAAUACCGAAUAUGACCACUUCUUGGUUGUUGUGGUGGAAAGCUUUUGCGGUGUGGGAAGAGCCUGCGGCCUAUCAGCUGGUUGGUGGGGUAAUGGCCUACCAAGGCGGCGACGGGUAGCCGAGCUGUGAGGGUGUACGGACACAUUGGGACUGAGAUAUGGACCAGACUCCUACGGGAGGCAGCAGUGGGGAAUAUUGAACAAUGGGCGCAAGCCUGAUGCAGCGACGCCGCGUGGGGGAUGAAGGCCUUCGGGUUGUAAACUCCUUUCGCUAUCGACGAAGCCACUUGUGGUGACGGUAGGUAGAUAAGAAGCACCGGCUAACUACGUGCCAGCAGCCGCGGUGA
rnacentral:rRNA from 1 species